GCGUACCAUUUGUACGUCCCGGCUCUGAGCGCGCCGCCCGCGCCGACCUGUCGACUGCUCGCUACGGUUUGCGGGCC
rnacentral:sRNA from 1 species